rnacentral:lncRNA from 1 species
GGUGGAGCAGCAGGUUCUGGGCGGGUCCCAGCCAGCGAGGCCCCGGGGGGCGUCCCAGGAGCCCGGCGGCGGCGGGCCGGACGUGUCUGUCGCCAGUUCCUCCUGCGGGAACUUGGGGGCGGCUGAGCGAGGGGUGGCUCCACGGGCGGCUGGUCCCAGGGGUGUGCUUCUGAAGUGGAAGAGUUUGCAGCUUUGCUUUGGCAAACCUUUUGAACCCGACCUUUCUAGUGGGUUUGAACUCACAUCUAGGAACAGAAAACUAGGCCUAGGGAGGCCGCGCUUCCGUCCGGGAGCAGCGCCGCAGCCCCCACCUUGUCUUGGGAAGACAGCCUUUGUGCAGCCUUGGGAGCCCUGAAAGGCCACAGCCCGAGGACAGGACGGCAGCCCAGGAACGCGCUGUGAGUGGCUCCUGCGCUCAAAUCCUGGGACUUCCCCUACCACUGCACUCGUGACGUCGUUGUAUUUUACCAACUACAAUUUUGAAACUCUUGUUUUUGGACUUAAAAGGGUUUUUUUUUUUAAAUCAAACAAAAAUAUUCUUAAAUAGAUUUGAUAAAAAUCUUGUGAUGGAAAAUGACAUGAUAAUUCUCAACCCUAAUGGACUUCUGGCUGUCUUUAGAAGAGGAUGUGCGCACCUGAGUCCUUCCUGGCCAGGCUCACUAACCGCUCAGGACCGCGGGCAACCACGGGAAGGAAGUCAUGCACCUGGCUCCUGGCUCCCUUUAGAAAAAUGAUACUGAGGGCCAGGCGCGGUAGCUCACGCCUAUAAUCCCAGCACUUUGGGAGGCUGAGGCAGGUGGAUCACGAGGCCAGGAGAUCGAGACCAUCCUGGCCAACAUGGUGAAACCCCGUCUCUACUAAAAAUACAAAAAUUAGAUGGGCCUGGUGGCGCGCGACUGUAGUCCCAG